rnacentral:rRNA from 1 species
CUUUCCCUCUUUCUUUAGGCCUAACACAUGCAAGUCGAACGGCAGCACAGUAAGAGCUUGCUCUUACGGGUGGCGAGUGGCGGACGGGUGAGGAAUACAUCGGAAUCUACUUUUUCGUGGGGGAUAACGUAGGGAAACUUACGCUACUACCGCAUAAGACCUACGGGUGAAAGCAGGGGAUCUUCGGACCUUGCGCGAUUGAAUGAGCCGAUGUCGGAUUAGCUAGUUGGCGGGGUAAAGGCCCACCAAGGCGACGAUCCGUAGCUGGUCUGAGAGGAUGAGCAGCCACACUGGAACUGAGACACGGUCCAGACUCCUACGGGAGGCAGCAGUGGGGAAUAUUGGACAAUGGGCGCAAGCCUGAUCCAGCCAUACCGCGUGGGUGAAGAAGGCCUUCGGGUUGUAAAGCCCUUUUGUUGGGAAAGAAAAGCAGCAGGUUAAUACCCCGCUGUUCUGACGGUACCCAAAGAAUAAGCACCGGCUAACUUCGUG